CCGUUUGGAUGGGGAUGACUCUCGUAUUCCGGGGAUUGUCGAUUGUGGUGCGCCGCGCGGUCAGCAUCGGCAAUGGCGCCGCUGGAGCUGCGCAUCAAUCCAUUGGUUUGGUCCGGGCGCUCGGCCUUGCCAGCAGCUACACCAUCCAUAAGAGUUCUUUUGCUCGCUGCGCGCGUCUUGUUCCCGGCGCUGCCAUCACAUCCAAGGGUAUUGUGGAUUUUUCGGAGCUGCUAGUCUCGAUCCGGUUCGUGGGGCACCCCAAAUUUCGCACAGCCGAUGCAUGACGACGGUGUAGCGGCAUCGGGUGUCGAUGACCAGUAUUCCAGGUCUCGCGUUUUCAUGUGUGCAAGAAUUGAUGAGGAGAUAGAUCGCUCGCCGGUAUGCUCAGCAGGCGCUAUGAUCCACCGUUACCAGUAAAACAUCCUACUGGAACACCGCCAACGCGCAGAUCAACAAGGUUAUGUAUUCUCCUCUACAGGAAGAAUGUGCUUCCACCGCUUUGAGUAAGACCAAGAUCGGCGCAUCGGUGUGGAUUUCGUUGGAGCGAAUGCGAACAGUGAAGCCGGUGCCUGGAAUCCGACCAUGUUUGCUCUCAGGCUUUUUGAUACCCUGAAGAUCGUGCCAGUAGUAUCGAACAAGGUGUUAAGAAUGGAACCUAGAGUUCGUGGUGUUUCGUACAUGAAGGAUUACGGCAACGCGAGGUGGAUCGAGAAAUGAGGAUCGAUCGGAAGAACACGCUCGUGAGUAGAGUUGGAACGAAGAAGGCCAAGAACGCGCUGCAAAGAAUGUCGAGAGCUGAUUGAUCUAAGGACGCGCAUUUUGAUUCUGGAGGCCAUGGAAGGCGAGGACACGACUUACUGAUCGCUGCUGCGGGAGCUCCAGAGCAUCUGGGAGGAGAUGGGGGAGGGCGACGAGGAGAGGGACAGAAUGCUGCUCCAGCUGGAGCAAGAAUGCCUGGAUGUGUACCGGCGGAAGGUGGAUCAAGCGAAUUGCGUGAGGGCUGGGCUGCACCAGCUGCUGGCGGAUUCCGAGUCGGAGAUCGCGUCGCUCCUGUUGCUCCUGGGUGAUCGCCCUUGCACGUUAGAGAAGAGGUCGGCACUACUCUGCGGGAGCAGCUCUUGUCCGUCUCACCUCAGUUAGAAUGCUUGCGUCUGAGGAAAGAGGAGCGGCUGAAGCAAUUUGAGGACGUGCAAUGCCAGAUACAAAGGCUCUCUCAGGAGAUAUCGCCAGGGGCAUUGCAAGAGGCCGAGAAUGGAGCUUUUUCUUGGAAAGGUUUGUUGCUGAGAAAGCUGUAUGAGUACCAUUGCCAGGUUCAAGAGCUUCAGGAUGUAAAGAGUAGCCGGCUCCACAAAUUCUCAGAGCUUCUCGAGGUUCUGCAGGGAUAUUGCGUCCUGUUGGGGGCAGACUACACCGAGGCUGUCAAGGAAGUGCAUCCGAGCCUUUGUGAUCCAGGCCAGAGCAGAAGUAUUAGCGAUGAGACGCUAGAGAACUUAGCCAAGACGAUCGGGAGUCAGGGAUAGUGGACUUGUCAGAACUACUUGCUACAAUCGAAAGUAGUAUCGCCGAGGAGAAGGAAGAAUCACUCGGCAGACAAGAUAUAAUGGAAUGAAUGGAACGGUGGAUUAGUGCGUGUGAAGAAGAAAGCUGGCUUGAAGAAUACAAUAAGGAUGAAAGCCGCUUCAAUGCAACCAGAGGAGCACAUUUGAGUCUAAAACGUGCAGAAAGAGCUCGUGUCAUCGUGGCCAAACUCCCCAAUGCGUUGCUAUUUCUUUUCUCAGUUUUCACAACCUUUUUGCAGAUCUUCUUGAAUUAUUGAAGUCCAAAAUGCGGUCUUGGGAGGACGAAAGAGGCAGGCCCUUCUUAUAUAACGGGAUUUCUCUACUGGCAAUUCUAGAAGAAUAUAGCUUGCUACGACGAGAGAAAGAAGAAGAAAAGCGCCGACUGAGGGAGGAGAAGAGAAUGCAGGAGCAACUGCAAACUGAGCAGGAGCUGCUCUACGGCACAAAGCCGUCCAAAAAGGGACAGGUGGGACUUCGCGUGAGUGGAAACAAUGCAAACCGACGACUUUCGAUAGUCCCUGAGCUCUUACCCGCACCGAAGGCUAGCAAUCAAAAGGUUAACCGGGUGAAACGCUACUCUCCGAUGAUGAAUUACGUUGCCUUGCCUAAGGAUCCCGAAGGUUCUUCGAUUGGAUCAGCUCCGGAUUCUCCUGUUGCGGCAUGAAGGUCAGGUUUUUGUUAGAAUGGACCCGUGCGUGAUGUUUUGCCUGUGGUGGCCAGAGCGGUUUUGAAAAUUAGGACGAUAAGCGGGGUUUAUACUGUAAGUAGAGUUUGUUUCUUUGCUAUCAAGGGUAAUCGCGUAUCCUUUUUCCAGUGCUCCGUGUUUUGUGUAUUGGGAAAGCGUAGGAGCAUGUGCUAUUUGUUCAAAGCUUUGAUUGGUGUAAAGCAUCGAACUAAUUGUUUCGUGUUAAGUUUCAUUCAAGACAAGUUCCACACAGGCUAUGCUCUCAAAUGAUUCAAAGGCUCGCAAGCUUGACAUGCUAUGUACCAGAGAGCCGAAACAACGGUUUUAAAAGGACUCCAUUCCUAUUAUGGAGUGCAUAAGCUCCUGCCACGAUCUCCUGUCGCAGAUCGAAAGUCAGGACACGAGCUGAAUGUGGACAUUGCGAAGCUGGACAAGGCGGCGACCAGCAUUCAGGCCAUGCUUAACAAGUUUAAUACUCACAAGCACCGGAAUCCAGAGUUCCGCUACUCUGAUGGAGCCGAGGAGUGUCUUAAUCUUGUCACAAAAUGGAACGACAAGGCGCAAGCACUGCUGGGAUCACAGGAGAAGCGUUGUGACAAGAUCUCGGAGCUGAUACACAGCUACGAGGACGAUCUCCUUCCGAAAAUUGAAAGGUACGAGCGAGAAGGGUUGAGAGUGAUACAGCCGAGCACUAGCUUCGCCGUACGGAGUUCCCCGCAAGACAGAGGCCCUGCAAAAAAAUAUGUACGGCGUGUUUUUCCUGAUCCCAUGUUUGGGGGCCAUGAGCAACUGCUGGAUGAGGUGGUGAAUGCCCUCUUGGAUCCUGAAGCCCGUAGCAAAUGGGUUGGACUGUUGGGAGGCGAAUGGGAGCGUGCCUCGGAUUAACGCAGGGGUUGCCUCUCACUCUGCGCAUCGAGCGUGAGAAGCGGAUCCAGGCCGUGUACAUCCAGGGCGCUGCGACGAAAAUGCAGGCUCUCGUGAAGAGAGGCAAUUGCUCCCAUUCAAUAUCAGGAGCUAGCCAAAAGUGCAACUCUUUCAGAUUUGGAAGACUGGCAGCCAAAUCAUCCUUGAAUUUUGACUGUGCAAUGCGUAGAUUAGUAAGCCACAGCCUUUCAAGACUUGGGAAUGAUCCAUCCGGUUGAAGAAGUGGAUACGAUUGCAUUUAAUAAAAAAAUGUUUCUAGGCCGUGGGGCAACCAA